rnacentral:rRNA from 1 species
AUACGGAGGGUGCAAGCGUUACUCGGAAUCACUGGGCGUAAAGCGCGCGCAGGCGGGCUGAUAAGUUGGAUGUGAAAGCCUACGGCUCAACCGUAGAACUGCAUCCAAAACUGUCAGUCUAGAGUGUGGGAGAGGAAGAUGGAAUUAGUUGUGUAGGGGUAAAAUCCGUAGAGAUAACUAGGAAUACCAAAAGCGAAGGCAAUCUCCUGGAACACUACUGACGCUGAGGCGCGAAGGCGUGGGGAGCAAACAGGAUUAGAAACCCCAGUAGUCC